rnacentral:tRNA from 2 species
GACGAAGUGGCCGAGUGGUUAAGGUGAUGGACUACUAAUCCAUUGUGCUCUGCACUCGUGGGUUCGAAUCCCAUCCUCGUCG